rnacentral:piRNA from 1 species
UGGUCUUAUAAUACAUGUGCUGGAAAAGAA